UAAAGACGGGUUUUACACAAGAGUUUCAAACACCAGGAUCCUUGAUCUAUUUAUUAUUCGGAUACAGCGCAAUAAAAUAGAGUAAUACUAUAAGCUCCUGCAUUGUUGAAAAGUUGUUUAAACAGAAGAUUCAGUACUGAAUUUCACGGCACAUUAAACUAAACACCGAUGUACGAAGAAUGGACGUGAUAUAUUAUGCAACUCACGACUUGUAAGACAUCAAAAGAAUUAUAAUGAAGUAUUGGGGAAGGAGUUGGCUCCUGUGACACAGGGCAACCUACUACAGGAUCCAAGACUUUCAUGAAAUGUAUG